rnacentral:lncRNA from 1 species
AUUCAAACGGUUGCCUCAAUUUCUAUAAAUUUUGGGCGAAUUCUCGUUUGCAAAACACAUUAAAAAAAUUUAUUCUUCUUUCUUUCUCUUGGCAUCAAUCAGUUAUUUUCGAGUGUCUUCUUGGUUUGAUCAAAUAGUCACAAUUUGAAUCAAACGUCUCCAUUGUAUCCUGAGAGAAAUUUUCUAUCAUAUCCCAAUUGUGACUUU